GAAAAGGGACAAAUUUCUUUAGACUUUCCAGCAUAUGGCCUCAGUUGGGCUCUCUGCAGGGCAAAGGCCGGAAGGCACUACUAGCUGGCUGGGGGCACCCCUGUGUGGGGAGACCGAGGUGUUAGCUGGGGUGGAGAUGCAGAGGCUUCUGGGAGCUCUGCAGCCAGAGAGCAUCUCCACGUGGCCCAGGGGUUGGUUCCUGUCCCUUCUGACAAAGAAGGCCAGAAAGAUUUGUCUUGGUGGUUUGAGGAACCCAUUGGUUUCUGAGGUGCCACAUUUGGAACCAGACCCAUGUCCCUAGGGCUUGCAUUUUUACUCGUUAACGUUCAAAUGUGGCUUCUUACUUCUAAGAAAAAGGACACAGAGAGCCUUCCUGAAGCAGGCUUGGAAGGCUUCUUGGACCUCAGAUUGCUCUUUCAAAACACCAGCGGGUGAGUUCAGUGUAAAUGAAUCAGAAGCUUGUGGGAUCAAUUUACCUUAAAAUACACUUGGGCCUAAAAAUUAAGGAAGAACAGCCUGGGGCAAAGUGUGUACUGUGAGCCCAAACCCCAAACAUUCAGGAAACAGUUCCAGAGGCUCCCAGAACCCAAAAUGCUAUUCCCUUUCACCCACCCCUUGAGGUGGGUCAGAUGUGAUUUUAUUUUUUAUUUUUGCAAGAUUGUAGAUUGCUGCUCUGACUCCUACGCUUUAAACUAGUGGGCUGGCUAUUUCCAGGACCUGUAGAUAUCUGGACUACCCGUGCCUGUCGCUUGUCAGUGUUGCCCUACCCAGGAGCUGAGCCAGACCUUGUCAAGAGAAACCUGGUCUGUUAUGUUCCAUCAGGGCCUGAAGGAUGUUGGGGCCUGUUGCGGAAGGGGCUCUGGAUUAAAAACUGGGACACCUGCAAAAGUCCUUGUGUUACCACCUAAUCUUCUGAGUUCCACAUGGAUGAGAACUUCCAUUCACUCGCUUCUGAUUCUAAAGUUUUGUGAUUCCUUGAAAUGUACUUGAGGGAUAACAGCCAGC
rnacentral:lncRNA from 1 species